rnacentral:rRNA from 1 species
GACGAACGCUGGCGGCGUGCUUAACACAUGCAAGUCGAACGGAAAGGCCCCUCUGGGGGUACUCGAGUGGCGCACGGGGGAGUAACACGUGAGUAACCUGCCCUUGACUUCGGGAUAACUUCAGUAAACUGGGGCUAAUACCGGAUAGGAAUCCUUGCUGCACGGUGGGGGUUGGAAAGCUUCGGCGGUUUUGGAUGGACUCGCGGCUUCUCAGCUUGUUGGUGGGGUAGUGGCUUACCAAGGCUUUGACGGGGAGCCGGCCCGGGAGGGGGACCGGCCACAAUGGGGAUGGGAUACGGGCCAGACUCCUACGGGGGGCAGCAGGGGGGAAUAUUGGACAAUGGGCGGAAGGCUGGUGCAACAACGCCGGGGGCGGGAAGACGGGCUUCGGGUUGGAAACCGCUUUCAGCAGGGGCGAAGCUUGUGGUGACGGUACCUGCAGAAGAAGCACCGGCUAACUACGUG